GCUCCUCCAUUAUGUGAAUGAUUCAUAAAUCUAUUGCUUGGGGUUUUUAAGUUGCUUCGCUUGCUAGGGUACUUAACUACUAUGGCAUCGCUUUUAAGUGAAUAUUAAAUUCUAGGUUAGACAUAUCCUCUAGGAAUGGCAGGACUCAAAUCCACAAUUAAAAUCAUCUUAGGAUGUUUAUGGAAGAAAGAUAAACCUUUAAUUAGGUGGUUGGGGGAGAAAAAUAUAGGAGGUUACCUUCAAAUGCAUCCAUCAUUCCUUAAGUCCCUUAGGUUUGAACAUAUAGAAUUUGAUCCAUCUUCUCAUUGACUGAGGGUAUGAAGUAUAUCAGAUUGGUUUUUCCAUCAAAAGCACUAUGGAAUUAGUCUAUGGAGGAAGAAAAAUGUUGGCUGAGAAUUAGUAUGUGGAGGUGUUUAUUCCAGCUGCAACUGCAGAUAUCCCUUACUGAAACGGGAUAUUUUAGCAACGGGAUUGCAUGGAGUUGGUUUUUCGAUUAACAGCAUUGCCUAUGGUAACUUGGGACUCUAUAAACCAGUAUAUCUAGGCAAUGGGAUUAUUUUGACUAGACUAUUGUUCAAGCUGUUUGUAUCUCAGUCCAAACAGUUGCAUUAUAGAAUGCAAAGAGUGUAUGCACUACUACAAUGCAGUACUCAUAUGCAUUGACUUCAUUUAAUUCCUUUUUUUUAAGUUGUAAGUACUAGUAAGGUAACAAAGUCAGCCUUGUAGAUCAUAGGGUUAAAUGAAAUCAGUGGAUGCACUUGUUAAAGAUUCUAUAUACUCCUUUGUUCAGACACCACAUUCCUCUUUGAUUGCUGCCCUAUUCCUUCAAGCCUUAAUCUGCAGGUUGCAACACAUCAACUUGCUCGCUCAACUCCUACCUUGUAUCCUUUUAGAUAACAUUAGAUAGCUAUGCACAUGAGGUGUCUUCUUUUGCCUUUGAGCAGGCAUGCAUCAAAUCUAUCAUAGAUACGUAGUUCCUAAAGCAAGCAUUCUAAUAGCAAGGUAUUGAGUGAUUCGAACUAUAUUGCAACUAAUAUGAUCUCUAGCAAACUAAGAUUUUGUUAAUGUUACCUGAAACCAAUAGUUAAAGGGUUCUUUCAUUUUUCUUUUCAUAAGAGUGUUUGGAACAGAAAAAGAAAAAAAAAAAAAGACCUCUAGUACAUCUGCUUUAACUAGUAUAGCUACGCGGGUAGCUUUAACAAGGACUGAGGGAGGAGAUUGUUAGCUACCAUAGAUAACAGUAAUGUCAAAAGUGGAGGUAAAUCAUUUCGCGUAACAUUAUAGUAUUUCUAAGUGGUUUUUGAAAUUCAUCACGUACGCCAAAAUAAAAUAAAAAGGAAGGAAAUGGAUGGAGUUAUAGGAGUCUAGUUUCCCCUGUUCAUUUCUUCCAUGGCUUCAAAAUAGAAAGCACAAUGAUGAGUGCAAUAAUGAGGAGUAAGAUAAUGGAGAUCAUCAUGCAUUUUCUUGACUUUUUCUGCAAGCGCUUUGCAGUUUGAAGAGCUUCUGUUCCUGAUUGUAAAUGGUCUACUGCAUUAUUAACCUAUCAGCAUACAAAACACACAAUUUUAUAUAAAUAUAGGAGCAAAAUUAUUAGGGGAUGACUUAUUGAUAUGUCAAAUUUUAUAUAAAUGUAGGAACAACUCUUGGAAGAUGUGAGAACAGGAGCAAACCUGACUUUCAAUGUUGUCUAAAAUUUCUCCUUGAGCUCCAACAACAACUGCCAUAUCGAGGUAAAUCUGACAAAAUUAACAGUCCAAUUAGAAUAGGUAACUUAGCUUGGCCGGUCUAUCGUACAUACUAAGGGUUCUGUGUAGACUUCAGAUUUUCACCUGCUGUAAAUCGAGAAGCUUUUUCUCAAUCUCAGUCACCGCAUCAUGC
rnacentral:lncRNA from 1 species